GAGAGUACAGUACGAUGAAAGUUGUAAGUUGUCUUCGGGGGGGAGUUAUUGUCUAUCGUUGGCCUAUAUGGUAGAAUCAGUCAGUCAGGGGCCUGAGAGACGGUGGUUUACCCUGU
rnacentral:ncRNA from 1 species